rnacentral:rRNA from 1 species
GACGAACGCUGGCGGCGUGCUUAACACAUGCAAGUCGAACGGAAAGGCCCUGCUUUUGUGGGGUGCUCGAGUGGCGAACGGGUGAGUAACACGUGAGUAACCUGCCCUUGACUUUGGGAUAACUUCAUGAAACUGGGGCUAAUACCGGAUAGGAUCUCCUGCUGCAUGGUGGGGGUUGGAAAGUUUCGGCGGUUGGGGAUGGACUCGCGGCUUAUCAGCUUGUUGGUGGGGUAGUGGCUUACCAAGGCUUUGACGGGUAGCCGGCCUGAGAGGGUGACCGGACAAAUUGGGACUGAGAUACGGCCCAGACUCCUACGGGAGGCAGCAGUGGGGAAUAUUGCACAAUGGGAGGAAGCAUGAUGCAGCAACGCCGCGUGCGGGAUGACGGCCUUCGGGUUAUAAACCGCUUUCGCCUGUGACGAAGCGUGAGUGACGGUAAUGGGUAAAGAAGCACCGGCUAACUACGUG